AACGAACGCUGGCGGCAUGCCUAACACAUGCAAGUCGAACGAACCCUUCGGGGUUAGUGGCGCACGGGUGCGUAACGCGUGGGAAUCUGCCCUUUGCUUCGGAAUAACAGUUAGAAAUGACUGCUAAUACCGGAUAAUGUCUUCGGACCAAAGAUUUAUCGGCAAAGGAUGAGCCCGCGUAGGAUUAGCUAGUUGGUGGGGUAAAAGCUCACCAAGGCGACGAUCCUUAGCUGGUCUGAGAGGAUGAUCAGCCACACUGGGACUGAGACACGGCCCAGACUCCUACGGGAGGCAGCAGUGGGGGAAUAUUGGACAAUGGGCGAAAGCCUGAUCCAGCAAUGCCGCGUGAGUGAUGAAGGCCUUAGGGUUGUAAAGCUCUUUACCAGGGAUGAUAAUGACAGUACCUGGAGAAUAAGCUCCGGCUAACUCCGUGCCAGCAGCCGCGGUAAU
rnacentral:rRNA from 1 species